GACGAACGCUGGCGGCGUGCCUAAUACAUGCAAGUCGAGCGCAGGAAGCCGUCUGAACCCUUCGGGGGGACGACGGUGGAAUGAGCGACGGACGGGUGAGUAACACGUAAAGAACCUGCCCAUAGGUCUGGGAUAACCACGAGAAAUCGGGGCUAAUCCCGGAUGUGUCAUCGGACCGCAUGGUCCGCUGAUGCAAGGCCCUCCGGCGGCGCCCAUGGAUGGCUUUGCGGUGCAGUAGCUAGUUGGUGGGGUAACGGCCCACCAAGGCGACGAUGCAUAGCCGACCUGAGAGGGUGAUCGGCCACACUGGGACUGAGACACGGCCCAGACUCCUACGGGAGGCAGCAGUAGGGAAUCUUCCACAAUGGACGAAAGUCUGAUGGAGCAACGCCGCGUGAACGAUGAAGGCUUUCGGGUCGUAAAGUUCUGUUGUAAGGGAAGAACAAGUGCCGCAGGCAAUGGCGGCACCUUGACGGUACCUUGCGAGAAAGCCACGGCUAACUACGUGCCAGCCGCCGCAGUAA
rnacentral:rRNA from 1 species